GACGAACGCUGGCGGCGUGCCUAAUACAUGCAAGUAGAACGCUGAAGGAGGAGCUUGCUUCUCUGGAUGAGUUGCGAACGGGUGAGUAACGCGUAGGUAACCUGCCUGGUAGCGGGGGAUAACUAUUGGAAACGAUAGCUAAUACCGCAUAAGAGUAGAUGUUGCAUGACAUUUGCUUAAAAGGUGCAAUUGCAUCACUACCAGAUGGACCUGCGUUGUAUUAGCUAGUUGGUGGGGUCACGGCUCACCAAGGCGACGAUACAUAGCCGACCUGAGAGGGGGAUCGGCCACACUGGGACUGAGACACGGCCCAGACUCCUACGGGAGGCAGCAGUAGGGAAUCUUCGGCAAUGGACGGAAGUCUGACCGAGCAACGCCGCGUGAGUGAAGAAGGUUUUCGGAUCGUAAAGCUCUGUUGUAAGAGAAGAACGAGUGUGAGAGUGGAAAGUUCACACUGUGACGGUAUCUUACCAGAAAGGGACGGCUAACUACGUG
rnacentral:rRNA from 1 species